rnacentral:rRNA from 1 species
AGUGAACGCUGGCGGCAGGCCUAAUACAUGCAAGUCGAACGGCAGCACAGCAGAGCUUGCUCUGUGGGUGGCGAGUGGCGGACGGGUGAGGAAUACAUGGGAAUCUGCCCAGUCGUGGGGGAUAACGUAUGGAAACGUACGCUAAUACCGCAUGCGCCCUUUGGGGGAAAGCCGGGGACCUUCGGGCCUGGCGCGAUUGGAUGAGCCCAUGUUCGAUUAGCUAGUUGGCGGGGUAAAGGCCCACCAAGGCGACGAUCGAUAGCUGGUCUGAGAGGAUGAUCAGCCACACUGGGACUGAGACACGGCCCAGACUCCUACGGGAGGCAGCAGUAGGGAAUAUUGGACAAUGGGCGCAAGCCUGAUCCAGCCAUGCCGCGUGAGUGAAGAAGGCCCUCGGGUUGUAAAGCUCUUUUGUCCGGAAAGAAAAGCAUUCGGUUAAUACCCGGGUGUUCUGACGAUACCGGAAGAAUAAGCACCGGCUAACUUCGUG